UACUCGACUCCUACGGGAGGCAGCAGUGGGGAAUCUUGCGCAAUGGGCGGAAGCCUGACGCAGCAACGCCGCGUGGGGGAUGACGGCCUUCGGGUUGUAAACCUCUUUCGCGAUCGACGAAGCUCGUACUUCUGGUACGGGUGACGGUAGGUCGAGAAGAAGCACCGGCCAACUACGUGCCAGCAGCCGCGGUAAUACGUAGGGUGCGAGCGUUGUCCGGAAUUAUUGGGCGUAAAGAGCUCGUAGGCGGUGUGUCGCGUCGGCCGUGAAAACCUGGGGCUUAACUCUGGGCGUGCGGUCGAUACGGGCAUCACUGGAGUUCGGCAGGGGAGACUGGAAUUCCUGGUGUAGCGGUGAAAUGCGCAGAUAUCAGGAGGAACACCGGUGGCGAAGGCGGGUCUCUGGGCCGAUACUGACGCUGAGGAGCGAAAGCAUGGGUAGCGAACAGGAUUAGAUACCCUGGUAG
rnacentral:rRNA from 1 species